UACGUAGGGUGCAAGCGUUGUCCGGAAUUAUUGGGCGUAAAGAGCUUGUAGGCGGUUUGUCGCGUCUGCUGUGAAAUUUCGGGGCUCAACCCCGAACUUGCAGUGGGUACGGGCAGACUAGAGUGCGGUAGGGGAGACUGGAAUUCCUGGUGUAGCGGUGAAAUGCGCAGAUAUCAGGAGGAACACCGGUGGCGAAGGCGGAUCUCUGGGCCGUAACUGACGCUGAGACACGAAAGCGUGGGUAGCAAACAGGAUGAGAACCU
rnacentral:rRNA from 1 species